UCCCUGGUGGCUCAGAUGGUAAAGCAUCUGCCUACAAUGCGGGAAACCCAGGUUCAAUCCUUGGGUUGGGAA
rnacentral:tRNA from 1 species